rnacentral:ncRNA from 1 species
GAGCUCAGUUACUACUUAAUUUACACAUGCAAGUCUCCGCCCCCCUGUGAGAACGCCCUUAAACCCCUCCAAGGGAUAAGGAGCUGGUAUCAGGCCCAAAAAUUAGCCCAAGACACCUAGCUUCGCCACACCCACACGGGAACUCAGCAGUGAUUAACAUUGAAAAUAAGCGAUAGCUUGAAUCAGUUAAAGUAGAGAGAGCCGGCUAAUCUGGUGCCAGCCGCCGCGGUUACACCAUGUGACUCAAACUGACUUCUUUCGGCGUAAAGCGUGAUUAAAGGCCCCCUAACAACUGCAAUUAAACCAGAACUGAGCUGUAACAUGCCUAUUCUUGAGAACCCCAGAAACGAAAGUCAUUGCAACCUUAACCUUGAACUCACGACAGCUAGGAAACAAACUGGGAUUAGAUACCCCACUAUGCCUAGCCGUAAACUUUUAUUUACCCCCAUACCGCCUGGGAACUACGAGCAAAGCUUAAAACCCAAGGGACUUGACGGUACCCCACAUCCACCUAGAGGAGCCUGUCCUAUAAUCGAUAACCCCCGCUUAACCUCACCAUUUUUAGCACGUCAGCCUGUAUACCUCCGUCGUCAGCUUACCCCGUGAGCGAUUACUAGUGAGCUAAAUGCCCCAACGCCAACACGUCAGGUCAAGGUGCAGCACAUAGAAUGGGAAGAGAUGGGCUACACUGUCUAAACUAGACAAUACGAAAGACUAUAUAUGAAAUCCUAGUCGGAAGGCGGAUUUAGAAGUAAAAAGAGACCAAAAUGCUCUCUUUAACUCGGCACUGGGGCAUGUACACACCGCCCGUCACCCUCUUCAAGGCCCGCACAAAGUCUUUAACACUCUUAAGCCACUUAGAAGAGGCAAGUCGUAACAUGGUAAGUAU